AUGACAGGCUGCGGGUAACGGCCGCCAUCUUUAUAGGAGCAUGUUAGAAGAGGAUUUGCAGAUCGGAAACUCAAACCAAAUGAUUCACCAAUAUCUAAAGCAUUCAACAAUCUGAUAACUGGAUAGAAACUGAGAGAUCGAGCAGCCCAUCCAAAAGCUUCCAAAAUCACUCUGCU